CACGCAUGACACACUGCAUAUCAAUAAGCGGAGGAAAAGAAACUAACAAGGAUUCCCUUAGUAACGGCGAGUGAAGCGGGAAGAGCUCAAAUUUGAAAUCUUCAAGGUUUUACCUUGACGAAUUGUAGUUUAAAGAAGUGUUUUCUGUUAGAGAGGUUGGUAAAAGUUCUUUGGAAUAGGACAUCAUAGAGGGUGAGAAUCCCGUAUUUGACCAUUAUUUUCAGCUGUGUGAUACACUUUCAAAGAGUCGGAUUGUUUGGGAAUGCAGUCCAAAAUGGGUGGUAAAUUUCAUCUAAAGCUAAAUAUUGGCGAGAGACCGAUAGCGAACAAGUACCGUGAGGGAAAGAUGAAAAGAACUUUGAAAAGAGAGUUAAACAGUACGUGAAAUUGUCAAAAGGGAAGCGUUUGACACCAGUGUUGUUUUUCCGAAAAUCAAUUACGAAUGUUUUAUUUUUGAGGAAGUUAUGACUUCAUCGGCUUGCUCUCUUCUUUAUGAAACUUUCUUAAUGCACUUUUCGGUUAACAAGUCAACAUCAAUUUCUUUUGUUGUAAGAGGGUAUGAGGAAGGUGGCUUUCUUUUCGGAGAAAGUGUUUAUAGCCUUGUACCUCUGCAAUCGGAGAGAUUGAGGUCUGCAGCGUAGAUCCUUCGGGGUUAGAUACAUUUGUGCUAAGUUAUAGCUUUUCAUAGACAACUUGUUGACUAUGUUUAGUCUUGUAGCUUACUCACUUAUGCUAUUUUACCUACGCUUAGGAUGUUGACUGAUAUGUAGUCGUA
rnacentral:rRNA from 1 species